AGUAGGGCUGGGAUGUAGCUCAGUGCUCCCUGAGUUCAGUCCCUGCCAAAGAAAAAAAUUCCAAAUCCUUAAAUCUACAAAAGUCAAUAGUCUCGCUCUCACCUUGCAAAAUAACACAUAGCAAUGUAGAUUUUUCAAACUUUCAUUCAUGUUAGAGGCAAACCCCAUAAGAUAUUUAGGAAUAAACUUACAAAACACAUCGUGCCAACGUGAGGAUAGUUACAGGUACGGAAUGACGUACAGUAUGUAGAACAAUGAACCUGGGCUGAGGUCAUGCCCUGCGUGUUCCCCACUGCUGUGUAACAAGAAAAACUGAGCAGCUUAGGACUCUCUUGUCCCACACCGUCUGAGAUCAGGGACCCGGGCGCACUCUGCUGGGUAGCCCUGGCUCGGAGCUGCUCACCAGCUUGCCACCCAGGUGUUGGCUGAGACUGAAGUUCCCUGGAGGCUGGGCUGGGGUGACGGGAUGUGGCGAGGUCACUUGGCCAGCUUGGCGGGAGACCCCAGUCUCUCACGUGGCAUGUGGACCUCUCCAGGGGGCUUCUGGCUCCCUCUGGCUGAGCGGUGGAAGGCACAGAACAAGGCGGGAGACACAGUGACUCGUAGCCAAGCUGGGAACCCCACGGCGUCACUGCCUCGGGGCCAGAGGAUCUCACCGGGGCAUGGAUGCCAGCGGCAGUUGGAGCCCACUGAGGGUUUGCUGAGAGGUGCAAGCAUGUGUUAUUCCCAAGAAGUCAAACAGAGCUUUUGACGUCUUGGAAAGAUCUGCCACACAGGAUAUGGAACUUGAUUUAACCGCACAGCGGCAGCUCCAGCCUAGGCUCUGUUCUCAGAACUGUGUUAGAUACGGGGGAAACCACAGCGAACAAAGGAGGUGAAAAUCCCUGCCUGUGCGGAGCUGGUGCUGUGGACACAGGUAGCAAAGAGAAGAAAUUGUAGUGUGUGGUGUGCAAGGUGCCUCCGAGGGCAGAACUGGACAUCGGAAGGACAGCAGCCAGCUGGGAGCAAGGGGCACCCUCCGUGCCAACGUGACCUUAGGUGAAUACUCUGAACCAGAGGGGACAGCUGUGCAGAUAGGGCCUGGAAGGACAGACGGGGCCCCGAGGCUGGAGGGACAGGAGGGACCAGGCAAUGGUAGGGAGUCAGAGGUUGGGAUGGGGCUGGGGGUGGAACAUAAGUCUGUCUGGUCUGAUGGUGUGGGUCAUUGCAGGGACUAAGGAGUUCAUACUUUUUUCUUUUUUUGGUACUGGAGAUUGAA